GGGGAAACUGCGCCCAUAUUCAAUUACCUCCACCUAGUCCCGCCCUUCACACAUGGAGAUUCUAGAGAUUACAGUUCAAGGUGAAAUUUUGGUGGGGACACAGAGCCAAACC